UAAUUCGUAGUAUAGUGUGUAGUACGCCGGCUACUAUAUCGAAAGUAUAGGUUCGAUUCCCAUCGAGUUUC
rnacentral:tRNA from 1 species